rnacentral:rRNA from 1 species
AGAGUUUGAUCCUGGCUCAGGACGAACGCUGGCGGCGUGCUUAACACAUGCAAGUCGAACGGUGACGAGGAGCUUGCUCCUCUGAUCAGUGGCGAACGGGUGAGUAACACGUGAGCAACCUGCCCCAGACUCUGGGAUAACAGUUGGAAACAGCUGCUAAUACCGGAUACGAGACGGAGAGGCAUCUCUACCGUCUGGAAAGUUUUUCGGUCUGGGAUGGACUCGCGGCCUAUCAGCUAGUUGGUGAGGUAAUGGCUCACCAAGGCGACGACGGGUAGCCGGCCUGAGAGGGUGACCGGCCACACUGGGACUGAGACACGGCCCAGACUCCUACGGGAGGCAGCAGUGGGGAAUAUUGCACAAUGGGCGCAAGCCUGAUGCAGCAACGCCGCGUGAGGGAUGACGGCCUUCGGGUUGUAAACCUCUUUCAGUAGGGAAGAAGCGAAAGUGACGGUACCUGCAGAAGAAGCACCGGCUAACUACGUGCCAGCAGCCGCGGUAAUACGUAGGGUGCGAGCGUUGUCCGGAAUUAUUGGGCGUAAAGAGCUUGUAGGCGGUUUGUCGCGUCUGCCGUGAAAAUCCGGGGCUCAACUCCGGACUUGCGGUGGGUACGGGCAGACUAGAGUGUGGUAGGGGAGACUGGAAUUCCUGGUGUAGCGGUGAAAUGCGCAGAUAUCAGGAGGAACACCGAUGGCGAAGGCAGGUCUCUGGGCCACUACUGACGCUGAGAAGCGAAAGCGUGGGGAGCGAACAGGAUUAGAUACCCUGGUAGUCCACGCCGUAAACGUUGGGAACUAGGUGUGGGUCUCAUUCCACGAGAUCCGUGCCGCAGCUAACGCAUUAAGUUCCCCGCCUGGGGAGUACGGCCGCAAGGCUAAAACUCAAAGGAAUUGACGGGGGCC